UGCUUGCUCCUCCUGUGAUGAAGUGCAGAGGCUGCUGGGUCUGGAGCUGCUUUUAGAGUUGCUGCAGGUGAUGUAGGCCUCCAUAGCACUGAAGUAGGUAGGGCUAGGAGGUAGCUAGAAGGCACGAAUCUCAUGAUCCAGUUCCUUCUCUGUAUCUGCAGGGAGUGGACUCCGAAGUAAAUGCUGUGAACUCUUCCUGGAUAUGUGCCAUGCUCUCCUCAAUAUCUUUUUGUUUUUAAUUGAAAAUAGAGUCUUUUCUC
ensembl:misc_RNA predicted gene, 27542